rnacentral:rRNA from 1 species
CGAGUUUGAUCCUGGCUCAGAUUGAACGCUGGCGGAAUGCUUUACACAUGCAAGUCGAACGGUAGAGGGGGCAACCCCUUGAGAGUGGCGAACGGGUGAGUAAUAUAUCGGAACGUGCCCAGUCGUGGGGGAUAACGUAGCGAAAGUUACGCUAAUACCGCAUACGAUCUACGGAUGAAAGCGGGGGACUCGCAAGAGCCUCGCGCGAUUGGAGCGGCCGAUAUCAGAUUAGGUAGUUGGUGGGGUAAAGGCUCACCAAGCCAACGAUCUGUAGCUGGUCUGAGAGGACGACCAGCCACACUGGAACUGAGACACGGUCCAGACUCCUACGGGAGGCAGCAGUGGGGAAUUUUGGACAAUGGACGCAAGUCUGAUCCAGCCAUUCCGCGUGCAGGAUGAAGGCCCUCGGGUUGUAAACUGCUUUUGUACGGAACGAAAAGGUUUCUAUUAAUACUAGGAGCUCAUGACGGUACCGUAAGAAUAAGCACCGGCUAACUACGUG